rnacentral:rRNA from 1 species
CGGUGAAUACGUUCCCGGGCCUUGUACACACCGCCCGUCAAGUCACGAAAGUUGGUAACACCCGAAGCCGGUGGCCUAACCCUUGUGGGGGGAGCCGUCGAAGGUGGGACCGGCGAUUGGGACU